GAUGAACGCUGGCGGCGUGCUUAACACAUGCAAGUCGAACGGAAAGGCUCCUGCUUGCAGGGGUACUCGAGUGGCGAACGGGUGAGUAACACGUGGGUGAUCUGCCCUGCACUUCGGGAUAAGCCUGGGAAACUGGGUCUAAUACCGGAUAGGAUGAUUGUUUGGAUGCCAUUGUGGAAAGUUUUUCGGUGUGGGAUGAGCUCGCGGCCUAUCAGCUUGUUGGUGGGGUAAUGGCCUACCAAGGCGUCGACGGGUAGCCGGCCUGAGAGGGUGUACGGCCACAUUGGGACUGAGAUACGGCCCAGACUCCUACGGGAGGCAGCAGUGGGGAAUAUUGCACAAUGGGCGCAAGCCUGAUGCAGCGACGCCGCGUGGGGGAUGACGGCCUUCGGGUUGUAAACUCCUUUCGCUAGGGACGAAGCGCAAGUGACGGUACCUGGAGAAGAAGCACCGGCUAACUACGUG
rnacentral:rRNA from 1 species